rnacentral:rRNA from 1 species
AACAAACGCUGGCGGCGUGCCUAAUACAUGCAAGUCGAACGGGGAAAGCUUUCGGGUGAGUACUAGUGGCGCACGGGUGAGUAACGCGUGGAUAAUCUGCCUUAGAGUGGGGGAUAACUAGUCGAAAGAUUAGCUAAUACCGCAUAAGACCACAAGAACUGCGGUUCAAGGGGUCAAAGGUUUUUCGCUCUAAGAUGAGUCCGCGUAAGAUUAGCUAGUUGGUGAGGUAAUGGCUCACCAAGGCGACGAUCUUUAACUGGUCUAAGAGAAUGAUCAGUCAGAGUGGAACGGAGACACGGUCCAGACUCCUACGGGAGGCAGCAGUAGGGAAUAUUGCAUAAUGGAGGAAACUCUGAUGCAGCGACGCCGCGUGAGUGAUGAAGGCCUUCGGGUCGUAAAGCUCUGUCGCAAGGGAAUAACACAAUGAAUGUACCUUGAAAGAAAGGAUCGGCUAACUUCGUGCCAGCAGCCGCCGUAACAC